rnacentral:rRNA from 1 species
UGACAGAGGACUUUCAGAGAUGGAUUGGUGCCUUCGGGAACUCUGAGACAGGUGCUGCAUGGCUGUCGUCAGCUCGUGUUGUGAAAUGUUGGGUUAAGUCCCGCAACGAGCGCAACCCUUAUCCUUGUUUGCCAGCGAGUAAUGUGGGGAACUCCAGGAAAACUGCCGGUGAUAAACCGAAGGAAGGGGGGGACAACGUCAAGUCUUCUGGGCCCUUACGAGUAGGGUUACCCACUUGCUACAUUGGCGCAUACAGAGGGCAGCCAACUUGCAAAAGUGAGCGAAUCCCAAAAAGUGCGUCGUAUUCCGGAUUGAAGUCUGCAACUCAACUCCUUGAAGUCGGAAUCGCUAGUAAUCGUGAAUCAAAAUGCCACGGUGAAUACGUUCCCGGGUCUUGUACACACCGA